UGGUGCAGAAGGUGGCUGGUGAGGACCAGGCCUGCCUGCAUGGAGCCCUUCCAGAAACACAGUAACCUUCCAACGAAGCUAUGAGGAGGUGUUCAAUUUCAUCCAAGCUGGCAGCGCCUCUGACAGAAAGAGAAAAUUAACGUGAAGCGGAUCUGCCACCUUCCACUCUGAGCCUCAAACCACACAUUCUGUGACAAGUUUCGGUGGGUAACGAGCUGAACUGAAUUUGCACAGCCGCCUGCGGAGAGAGGAGCUGCUCCGGAACAGGGAAAGGUGCUGCAAUCAGAUGUUUUGUUGUUAACUGAGAAUAUCCGGCAGUCGAGACUGCUGCUGAUUAAUGUGCAGCAGGUGCUGGGUGUCUAGACUUGGAGAGAGAAGCACACACUUGAGUAAUUGACAGUGCAGGUGCAUCUUGGGCUUUAGCCAGCAUUUGGGCCCAGUGCAGCGUGUUUUAGCUGCGCAACAUGACAUUUCCAGGACUUGCGCAUCAAAAUCAAGUGGUUCCAAUUAAAAGAACUGUCAGAGAAAACGGUCUUCCUCAUUCUCCAGUAAUUGUUCUUCUCAACCACGAGGAUGGCUACCCUUCAUCCCGAGAGUUUAGCCUAGCCUUUGACCGCAACAUCUCCACUGUCUCACCACAACAACCCAGCUCUGGACGCUUACCAAAACUUCCACCUGCCAGAACUCUGAGGGUGGUUCAUGACUGAAUAAAUUCUAGCAGAUCUGCAGGGCUUUCCCAGCUGAUGAUGGAAGACGUUCAGGGUUUUAUUGGUCCCUUUUUGUCCUGCAGCAGACUCGUGACCUGUUAAGGCUUUUCCCCUGUCUUUGACCAACUGUAGCUGGGAUAGGCUCCAGCAACCCUGUCACCCCCAAAAGAUGACUCAGCGGGUUCAGACGAUGACCGGAUGGAAGUAUGAUACCUAUCCUUUUUGCCAUGAAGCUGAGGAUGGAUCUACAAAGAUGUAAUUGGUCACAUCAGGGAUGAGGAGAACGAGAAAUACAGGUGGAAUGUAAUGGGAAAACAUAAAAGAAAGCCCAAAGCUCCAAGAAGCCCAUAAACGUAAAGAUCCAGACUGACUUCAGCACAUAAAAAAGAGGAGAGAACGGGCUACUGUAUGGGAGAGGUCAUGGUUCAAGCGUCUGUGAGUUUUACGCUCUGCUGAACCAUAACUUUUGACUCCAUUCUAAAAGGAGCUGUCUUUCCGUUUGACAAAUGGAAACAAGUCAACAAGAACAAAAAAAUUUAUUUAGGCUUCACAAAAAAGUAAUGAGUUCAGAACAAUGUUAAUGUGACAGAGUGUAAAAAUAAACUAAUACAAGAAAUUUCUGAUUUUUAAAGAAAUUAUUUUUCUCUCAGUUAAAAUCUGCCUAUGAUGCACAUCACAGACCUCGCAUCUUUUAAGUGGGCCAACUUCCAGAAUCUGUGACGGACAAAUCCUUCCUCUGUUGCUGGUAAAGCUGCCUCCCCGGUGAAUCUGUUGCACCACUGGCGCCUGCAUUAGAGCAAAACAAAUCCCAGCUGCUUUGAAAAUAAUUAGGUAAAGGAUCAAGCGCAGCAGGGCCGUCUCCUGGCCUGGCGCUGCGGAGGAGACAGGUGCCACCAGCGGCCUAAGCCACUGAAGCCAGGACCUCAUAGUACAGAGCGAGAGGGGAACUACUGCCAGUCUCAAUCAAACAGAAUAAAGAGCCUGAGUGUGUCAGGCAGCACUGGGGUCAUGUUUGGAUUGUUGCCGCCAGUUCAAUGAAUCUUUAGCGAUUUUUAACUCCAUCAAAGUACCAAAGUGAUUUACAUUGAGGAUUCUGGAAGUUCUGGAAGAGAAAGUUGCAGAUCAAUGUAAUUGAAACAUGUUUGCAUCUAUGGAAUAUUUAAAAUAAUUUUCAUACAUUUUAAGUAAAAUAAUACUUGAUUUUGGUUAAAAAAUAAAAAAGA